GCUCUGAGUUACUGGCAUAAUAAGACUUAUCUGACUGACACCACUGAAUUAAUUGCUCUCUGUUGCUGAGCGAGGUGAAGACCUGAAGUACAACAGAACACUUUGAAAGCAUCAAAUGCCAGGUGAAUGUCAUCAAGUUCAGAAUGAUCCCUGUGCUCCAGCAUGGAUUUGAAUACAAAAUCCUUUUAGACUUGUGGCUCAGCAAUUUCCACAACAGCUCUUUGAAACCAUGUAUACCAAGAACAUAUGAAACAAAGAGGAAUACCUUACGGUGGAAAAGACAAGGGAAAAUAAAUAGGAGAAUGGGAAAUCAGAAUGAAUUGAUGAGAAAGAGAAGACACAAUGGUCCCAAAUUACUUCACACUGCCAGCUGGAUCUACAUGACUCUUCAAAGGGAUAAAAUGCAGAGCCGCCUUUCCUACAGUGGAUCAGAAGAAGCAAGCACAGAACUGUGGGUAGAGACCAGUAGACUCCAGUAUAUCCCAAAGUAUUUAGUAGAGUGAACCCCACUGAUUUGCAUGUCUAGCUAAUCUGUAUUGUUCUGGGGAAGGUUGCAGGAGACAAUGCCAAGGAACUGUGGGAAACUAGAUCCCGUCCCAAUCUCAUAAGCAUGAAUAAUCAGAGUAGCUGCUAAUGAUUGUGUUUGACAGGAGGGAGAAACUAGGCAAGGGCAGGAGAACUAGUGACUCCAGGCCUUAACAGUAAAAUUCAUUUAAUAUUGCAGAUAACUGAGUCUGUGAUAAAGGAAACAAGGCCUUCACUCACAUAACAGAGAAGGAACAAGAUAGCAUGAUACAGGGUAAAGAUAGGGAGGGGGAAAGGAUUUACUGCUGGGGGAAUUCAUAUGGUCUGCAUUUUUCUGUACCCUUGCACAGAAAAAUGCAAAUAAAAUCUACCGGGGGACACGGCCUCUUCCCCAGCAGCGCGUCUGUUCCAGCAUGCAUGGAGCAACCUCAGAGAUGGGAUCAGGGGGCAGGCCAUGCAUGCCUGCAUGAUCACCGGCAGGGGGGGGCUAGUGGUAUGUGGGUGAACAAUCAAGAGAGAGAUUCUGUCCCUCUCCCUUGCUACCAUAGCUCACUGGUGUGGAAGGGUAAGGCUUUUUGUUAUGCAUGAGGCAGUCUAGAGGCACAAAUGUAGUAGCCCUGCCUGAGUUAAUUGAUUCAUUCUCUGAGGCAUUAGCAGCCUGACUAUGUAGUUAGUAACAUCGUUAAAGUUGCUGUUGAUGGUUAAUUGAUCUCAUUCUCUGAAGCAGAAAUGUAGCAGUCUGACUGUUAAAGUUA